rnacentral:rRNA from 1 species
AGUGAACGCUGGCGGUAGGCCUAACACAUGCAAGUCGAACGGCAGCACAGGAGAGCUUGCUCUCUGGGUGGCGAGUGGCGGACGGGUGAGGAAUACAUCGGAAUCUACUCUGUCGUGGGGGAUAACGUAGGGAAACUUACGCUAAUACCGCAUACGACCUACGGGUGAAAGCAGGGGACCUUCGGGCCUUGCGCGAUUGAAUGAGCCGAUGUCGGAUUAGCCAGUUGGCGGGGUAAAGGCCCACCAAGGCGACGAUCCGUAGCUGGUCUGAGAGGAUGAUCAGCCACACUGGAGCUGAGACACGGUCCAGACUCCUACGGGAGGCAGCAGUGGGGAAUAUUGGACAAUGGGCGCAAGCCUGAUCCAGCCAUACCGCGUGGGUGAAGAAGGCCUUCGGGUUGUAAAGCCCUUUUGUUGGGAAAGAAAUCCAGCUGGCUAAUACCCGGUUGGGAUGACGGUACCCAAAGAAUAAGCACCGGCUAACUUCGUGCCAGCCGCCGCGGUAA